rnacentral:rRNA from 1 species
UACGGGGGGGGCAAGCGUUGUUCGGAAUUACUGGGCGUAAAGGGUUCGUAGGUGGCUUGUUAAGUCAGACGUGAAAUCCCUCGGCUCAACCGGGGAACUGCGUCUGAGACUGAUGAGCUCGAGUGCAGGAGAGGAACGCGGAAUUCCAGGUGUAGCGGUGAAAUGCGUAGAUAUCUGGAGGAACACCGGUGGCGAAGGCGGCUUCCUGGCCGGGGACUGACGCUGUGGCGCGAAAGCUAGGGGAGCAAACGGG